rnacentral:rRNA from 1 species
UGAACGCUGGCGGCGUGCCUAAUACAUGCAAGUCGUACGAGUGUAGCAAUACACUAGUGGCGAACGGGUGAGUAACACGUAGGUAACCUGCCUUGAAGCUUGGGAUACCCGAGGGAAACUUCGGCUAAUACCGGAUACGAUCAUUGGAGGCAUCUCUGAUGAUUGAAAGACGCAGCAAUGCGUCACUUCGAGAUGGGCCUGCGGCGCAUUAGCUAGUUGGUGAGGUAACGGCUCACCAAGGCUUCGAUGCGUAGCCGACCUGAGAGGGUGAUCGGCCACAAUGGAACUGAGACACGGUCCAUACUCCUACGGGAGGCAGCAGUAGGGAGUUUUCGGCAAUGGGGGCAACCCUGACCGAGCAACGCCGCGUGAGUGAUGAAGGUCUUCGGAUUGUAAAACUCUGUUGUGGAGGACGAAUGGUAGGGAUAGGUAAUGAUCUCUAUUUGGCAGUACUUCAUUAGAAAGCCAUGGC